UUUCCGUAGGUGAACCUGCGGAAGGAUCACUGGUAGUUGGAUGAGGGGAUGAGAUUGAUUUUGGUUGAUUGAGAUCUUGAUUUUGGUUGAUCUUGGUUGAUUUCAAUCUCUAUCAAAAUCACCCCCCACACACAUUAACAAGCUUGUUGGUUGACUGAACGUUAUAACAACACAAAACUCUUAACAAUGGAUCUCUCGGCUCUU
rnacentral:misc_RNA from 1 species